rnacentral:rRNA from 1 species
UACGAAGGGUGCAAACGUUGCUCGGAAUUAUUGGGCGUAAAGCGCACGUAGGCGGCUUGGCAAGUCGGAUGUGAAAUCCCUCGGCUCAACCAAGGAAGUGCAUCCGAAACUGCUGAGCUUGAGUACUUAAGAGGAUCGCGGAAUUCCCGGUGUAGAGGUGAAAUUCGUAGAUAUCGGGAGGAACACCAGUGGCGAAGGCGGUGAUCUGGGAAGAUACUGACGCUGAGGUGCGAAAGCGUGGGGAGCAAACAGG